rnacentral:rRNA from 1 species
CAGUCGAACGGUAACGCGGGGCAACCUGGCGACGAGUGGCGAACGGGUGAGUAAUGCAUCGGAACGUGCCCAGUAGUGGGGGAUAGCCCGGCGAAAGCCGGAUUAAUACCGCAUACGCCCCAAGGGGGAAAGCGGGGGACCUUCGGGCCUCGCGCUAUAGGAUGAGCCUAUGUUGGAUUAGCUAGUUGGUGGGGUAAAGGCCUACCAAGGCGACGAUCCAUAGCUGGUCUGAGAGGAUGAUCAGCCACACUGGGACUGAGACACGGCCCAGACUCCUACGGGAGGCAGCAGUGGGGAAUAUUGGACAAUGGGCGCAAGCCUGAUCCAGCAAUACCGCGUGUGUGAAGAAGGCCUGAGGGUUGUAAAGCACUUUCAAUGGGGAGGAACACCUUAAGGCGAAUACCCUUAAGACUGACAUUACCCAUACAAGAAGCACCGGCUAACUCCGUGCCAGCAGCCGCGGUAAUACGGAGGGUGCGAGCGUUAAUCGGAAUUACUGGGCGUAAAGCGUGCGUAGGCGGCUUGUUAAGUCAGAUGUGAAAGCCCUGGGCUCAACCUGGGAACGGCAUUUGAAACUGGCGGGCUAGAGUUGGGUAGAGGGGAGCGGAAUUCCGGGUGUAGCGGUGAAAUGCGUAGAUAUCCGGAGGAACACCAGUGGCGAAGGCGGCUCCCUGGACCCAAACUGACGCUGAGGUACGAAAGCGUGGGUAGCAAACAGGAUUAGAUACCCUGGUAGUCCACGCCGUAAACGAUGUCGACUAGCCGUUGG